rnacentral:sRNA from 10 species
GUUUUUUUUCUUCUUCCAAAACUCAAUCAAUUCAUUAGAGAAAAGAACAAAAUAGGCAUUUUACUCAUAGAAAAUUAGGGGUUUUGAAGAGCAUAAGAAGUUAAUAUGCCAUCAUUACCCUUUGAAACGAUUUUACUUCCCUUGAUCCCUUAUCUGACCCCAUUUAAUACUGGUUCUUGUUCUUUUGAAACAUCAGUGAUUGGCGUGAUUAUUCUCUUUUUUCUGAGGUUGUUAUGCUACUAGACAAAGGAAUCUCAUCUUGUUCAAAAAAUCGAAGGUUUUUGGGUUCGAUCAUGAACUGAGGUUUGCCAUUUUGGAGGUUUAGGGGGUUUGAAUUAAUUGCAGUUGUCUUAAAAAGGAACUUAUACCAUGUAUUGAAGUGAGCUAAAGGCGCCAAAGAUCCAGAAAGGCAGAAGGUUAAAUUCCCGUUACUAGACGUUUCCAGCAAGCCAAACUAUAGGCAUUUCUUGUGGGCAACUUAAAUCCCUCAUGUUGCACUGAGCUUUCUCUUACUUUUUGCUUAUCCUACUCCUAAGCUUCCAACUCCAACUUUUGAGUACCACACUGCCUUCAAUGGUGUUGCAUU